GUGGAAUGGUAGCACCUGGCUCCUGCUCGCCCUCAGGUGAACACCAGGUGACAGAUGGACUUACAAAUGUGCAACUCGUCACCAGGGCCAGAGUGACCCUGCCCAUUAGCAGUGCUGCGUGCAAGGUGUCUUUGGGGGCAGCAGCUCUCAGCUUGGUGCUGAGUUCACUUCCCACCUGGUACCUGGAUGCUCUGGCAUCUCUUCCAAGCAAAAUUUUGGGACUAAAAUACCUGGAGAAAAAGAGAACUCCAAACUCAUCAGCCCCAGGGCUUCUCUGCUUCCCACUGAUUGAGGAGAACAUUUUUCCCCUGUUCCAAGCCAGGCUGAAGACAGCCUGUGUGGUUUCAUCUAAUCUGCUCCUGGAACUGCCACCACCACGUUGGAUAGCUGGGAUUUGGAAUGUUAACCACGG